CAAACUCCUACGGGAGGCAGCAGUGAGGAAUAUUGGUCAAUGGUCGGCAGACUGAACCAGCCAAGUCGCGUGAGGGAAGACGGCCCUACGGGUUGUAAACCUCUUUUGUCGGAGAGUAAAGUACGCUACGUGUAGUGUAUUGCAAGUAUCCGAAGAAAAAGCAUCGGCUAACUCCGUGCCAGCAGCCGCGGUAAUACGGAGGAUGCAAGCGUUAUCCGGAUUUAUUGGGUUUAAAGGGUGCGUAGGCGGCACGCCAAGUCAGCGGUGAAAGUUUCCGGCUCAACCCGGACUGUGCCGUUGAAACUGGCAGUCUAGAGUGCACAAGAGGCAGGCGGAAUGCGUGGUGUAGCGGUGAAAUGCAUAGAUAUCACGCAGAACCCCGAUUGCGAAGGCAGCCUGCUAGGGUGCGACAGACGCUGAGGCACGAAAGCGUGGGUAUCGAACAGGAUUAGAUACCCUGGUAGUCCACGCAGUAAACGAUGAACACUAGCUGUUUGCGAUACAGUGUAAGCGGCACAGCGAAAGCGUUAAGUAUUCCACCUGGGGAGUACGCCGGCAACGGUGAAACUCAAAGGAAUUGACGGGGGCCCGCACAAGCGGAGGAACAUGUGGUUUAAUUCGAUGAUACGCGAGGAACCUUACCCGGGCUCAAACGCAGGGGGAAUGCCGGUGAAAGUCGGCAGCUAGUAAUAGUCACCUGCGAGGUGCUGCAUGGUUGUCGUCAGCUCGUGCCGUGAGGUGUCGGCUUAAGUGCCAUAACGAGCGCAACCCCUAUCGACAGUUACUAACGGGUCAAGCCGAGGACUCUGUCGAGACUGCCGGCGCAAGCCGCGAGGAAGGUGGGGAUGACGUCAAAUCAGCACGGCCCUUACGUCCGGGGCGACACACGUGUUACAAUGGCAGGUACAGAAGGCAGCCAGUCAGCAAUGACGCGCGAAUCCCGAAAACCUGUCUCAGUUCGGAUUGGAGUCUGCAACCCGACUCCAUGAAGCUG
rnacentral:rRNA from 1 species